rnacentral:rRNA from 1 species
GACGAACGCUGGCGGCGUGCCUAAUACAUGCAAGUCGAGCGAGCUUGCCUAGAUGAAUUUGGUGCUUGCACCAGAUGAAACUAGAUACAAGCGAGCGGCGGACGGGUGAGUAACACGUGGGUAACCUGCCCAAGAGACUGGGAUAACACCUGGAAACAGAUGCUAAUACCGGAUAACAACACUAGACGCAUGUCUAGAGUUUAAAAGAUGGUUCUGCUAUCACUCUUGGAUGGACCUGCGGUGCAUUAGCUAGUUGGUAAGGCAACGGCUUACCAAGGCAAUGAUGCAUAGCCGAGUUGAGAGACUGAUCGGCCACAUUGGGACUGAGACACGGCCCAAACUCCUACGGGAGGCAGCAGUAGGGAAUCUUCCACAAUGGACGCAAGUCUGAUGGAGCAACGCCGCGUGAGUGAAGAAGGGUUUCGGCUCGUAAAGCUCUGUUGGUAGUGAAGAAAGAUAGAGGUAGUAACUGGCCUUUAUUUGACGGUAAUUAAUUAGAAAGUCACGGCUAACUACGUG